GCCUGGUCUUUGGUGCGUCUCCAGGGGCGGGGCCUUGAUCAUUGGGCCCCCGGAAGGGCGGGGCCUGACCAUUGAGGCUGUGUGGUCGCGGAAGCGUUGCGGGCUGAACCAGGCCUCCGUUCUCUCUUGAUGGACCAAGAACAUACCCAGGAAGUACCCUGAAGACCUCCUGGGCAUGGGCAGGCCUCGGAUGAGACAGGUUGGGCCCCAGAGUCCCCUAAGCGUGUGACCACCGGGAGCAGUCUCCAAGGCCGAAAGCUGAGUGAAGAAAGCAAAGUGGGAAGAAAGCUGCCAUGAAGACCAAGAGACACUUGUCCACGUGUGCUGUACAGGCGGGAUAUCUCUGGAGGGACACGAGACACCAGUGCCCGGUAGCCCUGGGGCUCAGGAGAGGGAGGUAGGGCAAAGGGCUACUUUAAAGAAUGCUUUAUAAGAUAAGAUUCCUGGGAUUAAAAAAAAAAAAUUACAUAGGAGGAGAGAAGUGGGUGAGCUCUAGAUGAAAGAAUGGCCAAGAGUUGAUAAAUGUUGAUGUUGGUGAGGGUUCCAUGGGGAUUCUCUCUCCCUACCUGUGUGGAUGCUUGAAAUGUUCUUUAAUAAAUAGUUCUUAAAAAUGA